rnacentral:rRNA from 1 species
CCUACGGGAGGCUGCAGUGGGGAAUAUUGCACAAUGGGCGCAAGCCUGAUGCAGCCAUGCCGCGUGUGUGAAGAAGGCCUUCGGGUUGUAAAGCACUUUCAGCGGGGAGGAAGGCGGUGAGGUUAAUAACCUCAUCGAUUGACGUUACCCGCAGAAGAAGCACCGGCUAACUCCGUGCCAGCAGCCGCGGUAAUACGGAGGGUGCAAGCGUUAAUCGGAAUUACUGGGCGUAAAGCGCACGCAGGCGGUCUGUCAAGUCGGAUGUGAGAUCCCCGGGCUCAACCUGGGAACUGCAUUCGAAACUGGCAGGCUAGAGUCUUGUAGAGGGGGGUAGAAUUCCAGGUGUAGCGGUGAAAUGCGUAGAGAUCUGGAGGAAUACCGGUGGCGAAGGCGGCCCCCUGGACAAAGACUGACGCUCAGGUGCGAAAGCGUGGGGAGCAAACAGGAUUAGAUACCCCUGUAGUC